rnacentral:rRNA from 1 species
CAGUCUCAGUUCGGAUUNAAGGCUGAAAUUCGCCUUCAUGAAGCCGGAAUUGCUAGUAAUGGCAGGUCAGCAUACUGCCGUGAAUACGUUCCCGGGCCUUGUACACACCGCCCGUCACGCCAUGGGAGUUAGGAGUACCCGAAGCCAGUGACCUAACCGCAAGGGAGGAGCUGUCGAAGGUAAGACUGAUGACUGGGGUGAAGUCGUAACAAGGUAAC